GACGAACGCUGGCGGCGUGCUUAACACAUGCAAGUCGAACGGAAAGGCCCUGCUUGCAGGGUGCUCGAGUGGCGAACGGGUGAGUAACACGUGGGUGAUCUGCCCCUUACUUUGGGAUAAGCCUGGGAAACUGGGUCUAAUACUGGAUAGGACCAUGCUGUAGGUGGUGUGGUGGAAAGAUUAGUUUCGGUAAGGGAUGAGCUCGCGGCCUAUCAGCUUGUUGGUGGGGUAAUGGCCUACCAAGGCGUCGACGGGUAGCCGGCCUGAGAGGGUGGACGGCCAGAUUGGGACUGAGAUACGGCCCAGACUCCUACGGGAGGCAGCAGUGGGGAAUAUUGCAAAAUGGGCGCAAGCCUGAUGCAGCGAAGCCGCGUGGGGGAUGACGGCCUUCGGGUUGUAAACUCCUUUCAGCCAUGACGAAGCCCUUGUGGUGACGGUAGUGGUAGAAGAAGCACCGGCUAACUACGUG
rnacentral:rRNA from 1 species